rnacentral:piRNA from 1 species
UNCAAAUUGUUCAGGCAAUGGCUUGUCCUG